GCCGCAUCCUGAAACGUCGCUUUCUUCCCUAAAAAAAAUGUCGCUCUCUCCUUCCUCCAUCGCCUCCAGCUCCAGUGCUCCCUCCGCCAUCGCCUCCAGUGCUCCCGCCGCCAUCGCCGGCGCACGGCACUGACCGGAAAACACGCUCUCAGCUAGGCGCCAGCACCGCCGCCGCUUCCAGGUUCGGAGCGCGCUUGACCGGCAGCCAGCCUCCAUUGCCCCGGCCAGGUCGCAGGUGUAGCUCCAAGAACAUGUGUUCUGUGGCGUGUAUUGAUGGCCAAUAGCGAGUACGAGUAUGUGAAGAGGGAAUUCGAGUUCGACCAUCACCUCCCGGCCUCCAACUGGAUCAUUGUCUGCUUAGAUGGCUGUCAUUUCCACCGUUUUGUUUUCAGAGAGGGAACAGAAUUCUGUCAAAGACUUCUCUACCAAUAAUUGCAGCAAAAUUCUCUCUUUGUGUGUUUCUUACAUCACACCUGUGUAUGUGAUGAAGUUGAAAGAUUUCUUUCCAAAUAAAGAGUUGAGAGAGGCUCCAUAUUUUGAUGGGCGAGUUGUAUGCUAUCCAAAUAUGAAGACCAUUCGUGAUUAUUUGGCAUGGAGGCAACUGGACUGUCAUAGAAAUGAUCAUUAAAAUACAUGCUUCUGGACAUUAGUGAUAUCUGAAAAAACUGAAAAAGAGGCACAACAAGCAUUGAAGGUAGAAACAACGCUGAAAAUUGACGAUUAUGGGAAUCUUAUAAAAAGAACCCGGUUGGCAAUUACAGUGUCAAUUUUUGAUAUCAUAGGACAUGAGUUUCGAGAAAAACAUCAAAACAUUCUUCGAGAAGGUCACAACAGGAUCCAGUACAAGACAUGCUUUUGGAUGCUAGUGAAGUCCAGAAAGGGCGAAAACGAAGCUUACGAUAUGCUGAAGGUCAAAGGACAAGAACGAGUUGCUCUUUCAGCCGUUUGAAAUGAACUAUAACAACGAACCGGCCAUGUACUGAAAGGGCUCAUGUGCUUACCGUGAAAAAGGUGGCGGCUCAGGGCAUGGUAAUGCAGUGUCGGCGGUUGGCGGUGGCCCGCGGUGCAUCUUCUCCUUCCGCAGCGUCCGGGAAGACGAGGGGAUCCGGCAGUCUGCUGGGUACCCUGCUUAGCACCCCAGGCACAGCCCGCGUGCGUCGCUGCUGGAGGUAGUCACCCCCCGGCGUCGCUGCUGGAGCUAGUCACCCCCCGUCUUGCUUCCUGGCAUCUUUGCGUGGGCGCUGUGUCCGGUCCUUGGUCCCGUGCACCCACCUCGCCCGGAAUGGAGGGAGUCCUGCGGGUACCAGAUGUGCGUAGCAGCAGCCUUGUGUUCGCCACCGAUUGCGUGCACCAGCUCAUCCCCACCCACGCCUGCUUCGUGUCUCUCCCGCGUCGACAUGUUAUCCGUUCCAUAACCUCCAGAUGCCUCUGAAAAUAUGGCAUUCUAUCGGUUCCUCGUCGACGCGCUGGUCUCGUGGUCCUCGAAGCGCCAGCCCACGGCGUCCCGCUCCAGCGUGGAGGCAGAGUACCGUAGCGUGGCCAACACCGGGCCGAGUGUGUCUGGCUUCGACAACUCCUCGGCAAGCUCUGCUGCGCGGUCACCACUGCAACGCUGCCAUGCUGGUCUACUGCGACAACAUCUCUGCCGUGUACCUAUCUAGUAAUCUCGUUCACCACCACGGCACCAAGCAUGUCGAGCUGGACAUCCACUUAGCGGAUGACUGCAGGUGGACGAUGCUGCGAGUGGGCGGUGGCGCACGUCGACAUGAGGCCAGAGUUUUGGAGAACGCAUCGUCGUGGUCGUGGCUUUGUUAGCAGGUCGCAGGAACAGGUGAUGACUAAGUAGGAGUAGUUCUCAUCAUUGUCUCAAAGAAAACGUGACGGUUUAUUACGGCUGGAUAAUACAGCAAGGUCCGGCGUUCGAUCUCUGGACCGUGUAUUAUAUUAGCGAACAUCAUUUAUUUA